AUACGUAGGGUGCAAGCGUUAAUCGGAAUUACUGGGCGUAAAGCGUGCGCAGGCGGUUUUGAAGACAGAGGGGAAAUCCCCGGGCUCAACCUGGGAACUGCCUUUGUGACUGCAAGGCUAGAGUACGGCAGAGGGGGAUGGAAUUCCGCGUGUAACAGGGAAAUGCGUAGAUAUGCGGAGGAACACCGAUGGCGAAGGCAAUCCCCUGGGCCUGUACUGACGCUCAUGCACGAAAGCGUGGGGAGCAAACAGGAUUAGAUACCCUGGUAGUCCACGCCCUAAACGAUGUCAACUGGUUGUUGGGUCUUCAUUGACUCAGUAACGAAGCUAACGCGUGAAGUUGACCGCCUGGGGAGUACGGCUGCAAGGUUGAAACUCAAAUGAAUUGGCGGGG
rnacentral:rRNA from 1 species